CUCUAAUGAACAAGUUGUGUUCGCCAUUAACUUUUGGCAUUUACUAAAAUGUCAAAAUGGAAAGACUGUUCCAGGAGGUUUGAAAAUGAAUGUGAUCCAAGGGAAGGGUGUGUGACCGACAGGUGUGAAAGCUAGUCACAGAUUUGGCACCAGUAGCAGUCACAACACUAGGAACAAUUCCACUCACACAUGCAGGGCCUGGUCAGCACAGGGGACACUGACACAGAGAGCGUGAGUGAUGUGCCUGCCAACAGCCAGGCUGUAGAUGGGGAUUUGGUUAAAGGAGCUUCUCGUCAGAGUUUCUGCAUGUUCUGUCAGAGCCUGAGGAAGCACCACAGCAGGGCUACAUUCUUGUGUUGCUCCUUCUCUCCAGUAGUUUCCUUCUCAGGCUGAUUCAGACACUGUACAAAUUCUCCACACUUCUGUGUGCUGUAGGAUGCUGUGCUAAAUACGGAGAGAAGCUGAGGGGGCAAAGGCAGCAAGGAACUAUGCUCAGGUCAGGAGUCAUUGCCAAAGAGUAAGAGGAGCUGAGACCUCUGAGCAGGUCCUGUGUCUGAGAGCACUCAGCUGGCCCCAGGGCAGUGGUUCUCAACCUGUGGGUUGUAUUCCCUUUGGCAAACCUCUGUCUCCAAAAAUAUUUAUAUUUAUGAUUCAUAACAGUAGCAAAAUUACAGUUAUGAAGCAGCAAUGAAAACAAUCUUAUGGUUGGGGGGUCACAACCAUAGUAAAGGGUAGCAGCAUUAGGAAGGUUGAGAACCACUGACUUGGGAUCGAGGGAAGCCAGUAGCAAGAGUUGAGGCUAUUGAAUUCAGCUCCUUCAUUAAAGGCGACAGCCCAAGUUGCCUGUGGCUAUUACUUGGAUUAGGGCCAGUUUUCUUCUUCAAAAUUGUCUUUACACCAUUCAGCCUGAUAUGUCAAGAUACCACAUUUUGGUCUCAGGUCCCUACCUGGGUUGCUACUGUUCAUAUUCUGCUUAGCCACUUCCUGUCCAGCCCUUAAGUCUCAACUCAGACACCCUUCUUCCCAGUCCCCAGCCAAGACUGUGUGUGAUCCAGAACCUGCAGAAUGACUGGUCCCAGUGUGGCAGGGCAGAAGGGCAGUGGGGUACCCUUCAGCCCCAGGUACUUUUCUUUCCUGAAAAGUAACAUUUCAAACCAGUGAAUGUACCUGCUGGUUUGUACAAUGACAGCAGAAAUUCCAAUAAUCUCAUUUUAUUCAGAAAGCAUUGGUGUAUUGUCAGUUUCCAGUAGAUGCUUAAUGAGUGAUUAAACGCCAUUGGAAUUCAUUGGACAAGUUGGGGAGGGGAAAGGGUUAUGGGUUGUUCCAGGGUCUGCCUGGGUCUGUGCUUUUGGGUCACAAGGAAGAAUGGAAAGGGUUUGAAGGAUGGAAUGGUGUGUGGAAUAAAGUCUACAGAAGUGGGCAGAGCCUGAGAAAGGAGGCUUUUGUGUCCCCUUGAGAUGAGGGAGAACACUUUCAGUAGCAGCUUGCUGUCAACAAGACACUGUUGUCUUGGGCGCCUACCUCAAGGCAGGUGCCUGUGGGGUUUUUCUAAGCCUUGAGUGUAUUUGUGGUCAGAAACAGUGCGGUAUCGCUAUAUUUAAACUCAUCACUUGAGCCGUUGGAUUCUGAUCACAUCAGCAUGCCUGUGCUUCCUGCCAUCCUGUUCAGGUUGGAUCAGUGCUGAAGUAGAGCAGCUGUGAGGACUGUGGAGUCCACGAGGGGCUUUCUGCAGCAUGUUUUGCCUGGCUUUCUACCCAAGAUACAGAUUUUCUUCAGUGCUGUUUUACUGGGAGCUCUAAGCAAAAGACAUGAGGCCUCAUCUGAAAUGAGGUGGCUUUGAGGUCGUCCACUUUCUAGACGUGUGCGGUCACCUGGUGCUGAAAGCCCUCCACACAGAAUGAAACGAGAAAGCAAAGCAAGCCCACUUGACUACACUGCCCCUUCUGAGGCUAUAAGAGGUUUGCAAUUUUUUUUGGUGAUGGCAUGUUCAGAAUCUUGGAUCCUAAGUUGAAUGUUGGAAAUAUGUAGGAGCCUUGGAAGUUAUGUUGUUUUCAUACUUUAAUGUCUUGGUAGGUGAAUUAGUAGAUUAAACAGUGUAUGUAAAGGAAAUCCAUACUUUCAGUUGACAGGCAUCUCAGGAUUGUCACCUGUCUGAGUGGCGUGCUGGGAGACAGCUCUGCCACGGAGCUUCGCAGUGGACCUCUUAUGGUCCCGGGCAGUGUGUGGGAUCCCCCCCAUUAUGCCUCUGUUAGCUGGCUCUCUUUCCUACCCACCUUGCAGUGUGAGCUACUUAGACCACAGGGAUCACUGCUCAGGAGUUAUGAAGAGAAGAAAAAGCAUCAAGUGACAAUCUUAAAUGCAGUACUUACAGAAUUUCUACCUGGAAUCAUCUCACAAGGUCUGUAUUAGAAUAUGUUUGUUUUUUUUU